rnacentral:tRNA from 1 species
GGAGUUGUGGCUCAGUGGUAGAGUACUCACCCGUCACGUGCAAGGCCCUGGAUUCGAUCUUCAGUACCA